GGUGUCGUGGUGUAGUUGGUUAUCCCGUCAGUCCAACACACUGAAGGUCUCCGGUUCGAAUCCGGGCGACGCCA
rfam:Jatropha curcas cultivar GZQX0401 scaffold160_30, whole genome shotgun sequence.